AAAACCUUCCUGGGUAAUAUCUCAGGUUUCAACCACUCCAUGCUCUAAUAGAUGGAGUUAAAUGUGGACAUGACUGGACCCCAUAGAAAAUCUUUUAUUGACCCUGAGUCACUGUGGGUUCAUCCGAUGACACCGUAGGAGUCACCCCUUCUCGGACAGCCUGUCCUGCGAAUUCUGUUUCACCAAGAAACAUGUAAGCUGUCUUGAACGAACUUAAUCAGCUUUGGAUCCACUUGAGAGAUAAGAGAAGAUUGCUACUUUUCCCAGAAAAGAAUAAAAAACUAAAUGAGAAGAGUUAUUUAUACUUCUGGCCGUCACCUUCAGCAGGCAGUUAAGAUUGCCCUAUUGAGUAGCCUCUGCUUAUAAUAGAAGGAGUGAAGGCAGAAAAAUGGAGUUAAUGUUGCCAUAAGACAUGACAAAGCCUCUGGUUUCCAGGAUCAGCCUGAAAUGAAUUAAAGCCGAAUUCUACCAACAAAUCUGUCACGCUGCCCUGAAAACAGGAAGUCUAGGCUGGGCCAACAGGAAUUAGUCACGGUACACACUGGCAAACCCUCCCAGAUCAGGGCAUGAAAAAUGUGCUUCAUCUGCAAAAAUCAACUGUCGGAAUUCAUGCAGUGUUUUCCAUUACCCACUUUCUUUCCUCCAAAGGCCAGUCAUCAAAUAUGCUUGGCUCGCUUAGGCUUCUGCUGCGCCAUUGAGUGUACACACUUGUGUGUGAAAUGGAAUCCCAUCUAGCUGGUGCCCUUGGAUAAAUGACCUCAUUUUUCUGGACCUGAGUUUUGUCUUCUGAAAUAGGAGGAGGCUGGCAUCUCAUGAUCCUGAGACUUCGACUUUCUUGGGGGUGAGGAAAUAAUAUAUCAGACAGUCACUGAAUACCCACAAAAUGCUCAGAACUGUGCUAACAAAUGGAGAUAGAAAAUGAAGGAGAUAUAUUCCUUUAAAGAGUUUCCAGUGUCUGCAGGGAGACAUAUACUUAGAGAAAUGUAUUAUGGAAACAGUGCUAAGGCCAGCAGAAGUCUACAUUAUCUAAGGCAUUUUACAGUGUGUUACAAUGAGUUUUUUCCUGAUCCUGAAGUUAGCCAAGGCCCAAAGCUAGAGAAAAAAGGCCCUACCAACAUUCCAUCCCAAAGAAGCUCUUCAGCAAAUGAAGCCAGCAUCAAUUGUCCAUGGCUUACUGGAAUGGACAAGAGCAAUGCAGGCUCUACUUCACCUCCUACGGCACCACUGCCUCCUUUCAGGAGAAGGGAACCAAAAGUUCCUCAUAGGCCUUACUUAGAAGGUGUCGGAGAGGACCUGACUCCAGCAGUCCCAGCAGCUCCAUGGAAAGAGCACCAGGUUUCGUGGAGAAGCAGCAGCUGUGGUCCGCCUAGUGAACAAUUGCACCGAACAGUGCAUUGCUCGGCCUGGA
rnacentral:lncRNA from 1 species